rnacentral:rRNA from 1 species
GACGAACCGUGCUAACGUUGUUCGGAAUCACUGGGCUUAAAGGGCGCGUAGGCGGUCUAUCAAGUCGGGGGUGAAAUCUUUCGGCCCAACCGGAAAAGGGCCUUCGAUACUGAUAGACUCGAGCGAGGUAGGGGCAGAUGGAACUUCCGGUGGAGCGGUGAAAUGUGUUGAUAUCGGAAGGAACGCCGGUGGCGAAAGCGAUCUGCUGGACCUCUUCUGACGCUGAGGCGCGAAAGCCAGGGGAGCAAAC